UGCUAUACAUGCAGUCGAGCGGACAGAUGGGAGCUUGCUCCCUGAUGUUAGCGGCGGACGGGUGAGUAACACGUGGGUAACCUGCCUGUAAGACUGGGAUAACUCCGGGAAACCGGGGCUAAUACCGGAUGGUUGUUUGAACCGCAUGGUUCAAACAUAAAAGGUGGCUUCGGCUACCACUUACAGAUGGACCCGCGGCGCAUUAGCUAGUUGGUGAGGUAACGGCUCACCAAGGCAACGAUGCGUAGCCGACCUGAGAGGGUGAUCGGCCACACUGGGACUGAGACACGGCCCAGACUCCUACGGGAGGCAGCAGUAGGGAAUCUUCCGCAAUGGACGAAAGUCUGACGGAGCAACGCCGCGUGAGUGAUGAAGGUUUUCGGAUCGUAAAGCUCUGUUGUUAGGGAAGAACAAGUACCGUUCGAAUAGGGCGGUACCUUGACGGUACCUAACCAGAAAGCCACGGCUAACUACGUGCCAGCAGCCGCGGUAAUACGUAGGUGGCAAGCGUUGUCCGGAAUUAUUGGGCGUAAAGGGCUCGCAGGCGGUUUCUUAAGUCUGAUGUGAAAGCCCCCGGCUCAACCGGGGAGGGUCAUUGGAAACUGGGGAACUUGAGUGCAGAAGAGGAGAGUGGAAUUCCACGUGUAGCGGUGAAAUGCGUAAAGAUGUGGAGGAACACCACCGGCC
rnacentral:rRNA from 1 species